rfam:Ictidomys tridecemlineatus contig063164, whole genome shotgun sequence.
UGUAUUGUGGCUCAGAGGUAGAGCACUCGUCUAGCAUGCAUGAGGCACUGGGUUUGAUCCUCAGCACUACAU